rnacentral:rRNA from 1 species
CCUGCCGGCAGCCAUAUGCUUGUGUCAAAGAUUAAGCCAUGCAAGUCUAAGUGUAGCAUUGCACAGUGAAACUGCGGAGGGCUCAUUAAAUCAGUUACAACCUACGCGAGAUAGUCCAUACGGAUACCUGUAGUAAUUCUAGAGCUAAUACGUUCGGACCCUGUCGACGCAAGGAGACAGGCAGUUGCCAUGAAACCCGCCCUGUUGGAAACUUCAGGUGCUAGGUGAUUCAGGGUAACCAAGCUGACCGUCCAUUAGGACGGCACUUCGCUCGGGUUUCUGCCCUAUCAGCUAUAGCCCAGUGUAGUGAACUGGUCUGGCGAUAACGGGUGACGGGGAAUUAGGGUUCGAUUCCGGAGAGGGCGCCUGAGACAUGGCGACUACUUCUAAGGAAGGCAGCAGGCGCGUAAAUUACCCACUCUCGAUACGAGGAGGUAGUGACGACACAUAACGGUGGCGGGCCUCAGGCUCGCUAACUGGGAUGAGGUUGGUCUAAACCACCAGCCGAGGAACCAUCAGAGGGCAAGUCUGGUGCCAGCAGCCGCGGUAAUUCCAGCUCUGAGAGCGUAUGCUUAAGUUGUUGUGGUUAAAAGGCUCGUAGUCUGACCACGAGGGUAGGUGACCGCAGCUCCUCGGAAGAGGACUAGGUUCACAGACCUUCGAUUAUGCCAGUAUCCCGAGGUCACCCUUAACUGGGUGGACGAGGGGUCUGGCAGACAUACCUUGAGUAAAGCCAGGUGCUCAAAGCAAGCAACUGCAUGAAGGUUCCAGCAUGGGAUAGCUUCAUAUGGAUCCAGCCUAUUAGUUGGGUUGAGGCUGGGUCAAUGGUAAAUAGGGGCGCUUGGGGGUGUUAGUACUGCGCCGAUAGAGGUGAAAUUCUUGGACCGGUGCAAGACUUACUAGUGCGAAGGCAUUCACCAAGUGCGCUCCCAUUGACCAAGAACGAUAGUCAGGGGAUCGAAGACGAUCAGAUACCGUCGUAGUCUUGACCGUAAACGAUGCCGACCAGGUAUUGGGUGACGUUACACGGAUGACUCCCUCAGCACCUUACGAGAAAUCUAGAGUCUUUGGGUUCCGGGGGGAGUAUGGUCGCAAGGCUGAAACUUAAAGGAAUUGACGGAAGGGCACCACCAGGAGUGGAACCUGCGGC